GGAUCAUUUUUAUGAUAAUGAACAUGUUUUUGGAAUAUUAUAUUUCAUUUAUAAUUUACUUUGCACUGCUUUUCGGGCUAGGCCCAUUGAAAGACUUGCCCGGCACACACACACGCAACACGCACAAACUUGAUCUUUCUUCCCAUUCUCCAUUCUUCUUCUCUACCUCAAUGCCCUCGUUGCCUCCUUGUUCCUGUCGUUCUUCACGUGUCAUUAUGUAACUCUUAAAAUCAAAAAAAUCAACGACAAGAAACUGUAAAAUAACUAUUGAUAAAAAAAAUCAAUGACAAGCAACUAUAAAAUAAAUAUUGAUCAACAUAGUACACGACUAGGUAAUACUUGUGAUUUCCACAAUAUUAUCAUGUCAUAACCCACAAACAUUAAAAAAAAAGCACUUCAUCACCUCUUAUACUUGGCAACCCAAAAAAAUGUAAAUCAUGACAAGAUCCAAAAGAAUUUACAUGUGGUGAAGAACUUCUU
rnacentral:lncRNA from 1 species